rnacentral:tRNA from 1 species
GAGGUUUUAGCUUAAUUAAAGUGUCUGAGUUGCAUUCAGGAGAUGUAGGGUAAAGUCUUGCAAGUCUUA